rnacentral:lncRNA from 1 species
UUGGAAAAAAUAAAUGUGAAAAUUAUGCUGAUCCCACGCAAUGUGGGAAUCGACUUAAGCGAAGCUUUCUGUGCUGUUUGCUUUGAUUGACGAUCAUUAGUGGUGAUGUUGAAAGUGAAUGUUUAAUUUCUUCAGAGUUUAGUCCAAUACGAGAGUGGCGAGUUGAUGUUAAAC